rnacentral:rRNA from 1 species
CCUACGGGAGGCAGCAGUGGGGAAUAUUGCACAAUGGGGGAAACCCUGAUGCAGCGACGCCGCGUGAGGGAAGAAGUAUUUCGGUAUGUAAACUUCUAUCAGCAGGGAAGAAAAUGACGGUACCUGACUAAGAAGCCCCGGCUAACUACGUGCCAGCAGCCGCGGUAAUACGUAGGGGGCAAGCGUUAUCCGGAUUUACUGGGUGUAAAGGGAGCGUAGGCGGGUUAGCAAGUCAGAAGUGAAAGCCCGGGGCUCAACUCCGGGACUGCUUUUGAAACUGUUUAACUGGAUUGCAGGAGAGGUAAGUGGAAUUCCUAGUGUAGCGGUGAAAUGCGUAGAUAUUAGGAGGAACACCAGUGGCGAAGGCGGCUAUCUGGCCAUUUACUGACGCUGAGGCUCGAAAGCAUGGGGAUCAAACAGGAUUAGAUACCCUUGUAGUC